UGCACAUGUAGUUCAUAGACAGACUAAAUUCCCCCGACAAGGACUUGGCCAAGUGAUCUACUGCUGCCUACUGUCAACAGAUCCCAUUUGUACACAGGACUCAGACCCAGAGGUAGUGCGUGUGAGGGGGACAUAAGGGGUAGCCUACCAGAAUGGGUUCCUGGGCCAAGCUGAAGUCCACUGGCUGGGUGUUUCCCACAGCCGUUUUGUCGCUCUAUGGGUUCUUCGCCAACUGCAGACCAGCUGAGCCCUUCCUAACACCCUACCUUAUUGGACCAUACAAGAACAUCUCAGAGGAAGUGGUGACCAACUACCUGUUCCCCAUCUGGACGUACUCCUACCUGGUCGUCCUCUUCCCCGUCUUCCUGCUGACAGACUUCCUGAGGUACAAGCCGGUGAUUGUGGUCCAGGGCCUCUUCCUGGUCACCAAUUAUGUCCUGCUCUGCUUCGCCCCCGGCCUGACCGCCAUGACGUUCCUGCAGUUCAACUAUGCCGUGGUGACCUCCACGGAGGUGGCCUACUUCUCCUACAUCUACAGUGUGAUCCCUCCGGAGAGGUACCAGCGGGCCACCGGCUACCUCCGCAGUGCCAUGCUGACAGGCUCCACCCUAGGAGCCACAAUAGGCCAGAUGCUGGUCUCCCUGGCAGGGCUGGACUACUUCUACCUCAAUGCUAUCUCCCUGGGGAUUCUCAGCAUUGCGUUCCUCAUCUCCAUCUGGCUACCCAUGCCCCAGCAGGGGAUGUUCUUCAGGGGGGAGAAGGCUGCCCUGGGCCUGAGAACCAAGGGCCAGGUGGAGGAGGAAGCGAGUGCAGUGGAGGAGGUCCAGGAUGCAGAGGAGGCCAUAGAGGAUGGUGCUGGGUCGGGUAGGACCCAGGGUGCUUGGAGUAGUACUGGCUGGUGUAGCCUGCAUAAUGUGGUCUAUGCUGGCAGGCUGCUCUGGAGCAGCUUCAGAGAGUCCUACUCCUCUAGGAAGCUGGUCUACUGGUCUCUGUGGUGGGCUCUAGCCACGGCCGGAUACGGCCAGGUGUUCAACUACAUCCAGCUGAUGUGGGACAACAUAGAGCCAUCCAGCACCUCCUCUGUCUACAAUGGAGGGGUCGAGGCCAUCUGCGCAGUAGUAGGUGCAGCCGCAGCCUUCUGUGUGGGUCAUGUAAAGGUGACCUGGGAUGUCUGGGGGGAGCUGUCACUGGGGGUGUUCUCUGCGGUGGGGGCAGGGGCCGUGUUUCUGAUUGGGCUCACCAGCAACAUUUGGGCAAGCUAUGCUGGCUACGUCAUCUUCAAGGCCUCCUACAUGCUGCUGAUUACCAUCACUACAUUCCAGAUUGCAUCCAACCUGUCCAUGGCAUGCUUUGCUCUAACGUUCGGAGUCAACACGUUUGUCGCCCUCUUGCUGCAGACCAUUCUCACAGCCAUCGUUGUUGAUGAAACUGCACUGGGGUUAGACAUUAUCACACAGUUCAUCAUCUAUGGCAGCUACUAUGCCGCAAUAUCAGUGCUUUUUCUGAUCAGAGGGAUGUACACAGCCUGUGCACACCACUGCUGCCCUAAACAGGCAAUGGACCAGGAGCAGAAAGAAGAUCCCAAAGUGGAGAUGCCCUCCUCAGACCGGUUCUGCUCUGACCACAGACAGUCAUCUAUCAAAGACUGAGGGGGGCAAGGCGUCUUCAGGGGUUCACCCUAAAAUGUAAUGGCAUGGUGUUACAUACUUGGAUUUAUAAUAAAAAUAAAACAAAAUGUUGCGUAAGCAUUGUUUUGUCCCAACUUCUCUUUAAGUCAUUCAAAAGAGAAGGGAUUUCAAUUGAUAGGCAUGGCCAUGUUAAAUGUGCACUAGCUAAUGUUUUAUUGAGCAGGUUGUUGAUUGACAGACUGAGCUCAGUGAUUACACAAACAAACCAAGGUGACUUCCGUGUGGGGACUAGACUCAGGCUGGAUUAAGGGUAGUGUGGGUCAUGUAAAAGUGACCUGCAGACUAACCUGAGCAGGUAAAGCGAUAAACCUGCUUUUUGUAUAACGUAUAAACAUGUGUGUGGGUGAUAAUAGUGGCUAUCGCUGUUUGUGGAUCUGUGAGGAUGGAGGCUGUGAAGCGGUGGAGGGCAGGAUGGGGCUAGCCCACCACUCUGCUGUGCAUCUAUGGGUUCUGCAGUACUGUGAAACCUCUUGUACCCUUCAUCUACCCUUACCUGACUGGUCCAAACAAAAACCUGAUGGUGGAACAGUUCACCAUUUAUGGAAGCUACUUCUCAGCCAUCGCUGUCAUUUUCUUUGAGGGGUGUGUACAUGAUUAUGAGAGGGUGGUAAAGCCACAGAGACUCCAUCACUGCAGAUGAGCCUCCAAGCCCAACCCUGUGUACACCACUGCAGAGGAACCUCCAAGCCCAACCCUGUGUACACCACUGCAGAGGAGCCUCCAAGCCCAACCCUGUGUACACCACUGCAAGCUUGAACAUGCAGUGGACCAAAAAGAAGAACCCAAAGUAGAAGUGUUUUUAUCUGACCGGUUCUGACCACAGACAAUAAUCUGUCCAAAACU